UACGUAGGCAGCGAGCGUUGUUCGGAGUUACUGGGCGUAAAGGGCUCGUAGGCGGCCAACUAAGUCAUACGUGAAAUCCCUCGGCUUAACCGGGGAACUGCGUCUGAUACUGGAUGGCUUGAGUUCGGGAGAGGGAUGCGGAAUUCCAGGUGUAGCAGUGAAAUGCGUAGAGAUCGUGAGGAAGACCCGUGGCGAAGGCGGAUCUCUGGACGGCUAAAACUGACGCUGAGGCGCGAAGGCCAGGGGAGCAAACGGG
rnacentral:rRNA from 1 species